AACUACUUAGAAUAGCGUAGGUGCCUGCACGGUCCGUUAGUCUGGAUCGUGACACUUUCCUCUUAUGAAGCAUAUCCCGAAUAGGGUGACAGGAGUAGAUAAUGAUGCUCUAGGAGAUAUUCCUGAAGAACAAGAUAUGAAAAAGUUUGUUUUAAAUCUAAAUUGAGAUACUGUUUGUGGCCCUGAUGGCCUAUCAGGGAAAUAUUACCAAUGUUGCUUGGAAAUUAUGAAAACAGAUGUUAUCAGAUUGGUGGUGGAUUUCUUUGCAGGUGGAUUCCAAUUUAAUAAUAUUGAAGAAGUACUAGGAACAGGCAAGAGAAUGACGGGAACUCCAAACAUACGAAGGAAUAUCCAGAAUAUAUGACAAUAACAGCACAAUCUACAUCAAUGCAUAAGGGUUACAUAGAUUCUACCAUACAGUAAGCUAAAGAGAAGAACAAAUUCAGUACAGCAAGCUAUUGUAUAGGGAGAUAUGUCAACACACAUGCAAGGAAUGAAAUAGGAUGAUCAAUAAUUUAAAAUUGGGGCUAGUAAAGAUUACAUAGUACCAGUAUUAGACAUAAAUCUAUAAAUCUGAAGAUCUGCACCUGGUGAGAGAUAGAGGUAUCGAAAGAUUAUGUAUUCAAAUGCUAGUUCAUUUUAAUCAAAAUGUAAGCUACGAUUUUGA